rnacentral:rRNA from 1 species
AUGUUCAUAAUUACCUCAUCUGCUUUUAGGGAUCUGGUCUCAGUUCUGUCUACCUCUGCCUUUGCAGACAAGGCGGCCGGCCUCACCAACGGCCUUGUGGAUUCAUCAGAGACAACGGAUGAUGUCCACCUCCCUGGGUUCCUCUCAGCAGCAAUGGUUCAAGGUGUUGGUUCUUACUCCAAAGAUCCUGUUAGCACACAUUCAACCACAACCCGAUCGUCGGUGUAUUUUCUUGAUGUGGAUUGGAGUGGUUCCUUGAAGUUUUUGUUUGUUGAGAACCCAACUAAGAAUUACCCAUGGACUGGACAUGUUGUUAAACCUUUCAAGCCAUUUGGUAUUUUUCCUGUUCAACUUUUUAAUGUCACUUUUUUUCCAGUGUAUGGUAUAUUUUUGUUGAAUUUGGCUUGUCUUGAAUUAUUUUGUGUCUUCAGAUUUAGACGCUAUGCACAAGUGUGCUGCUCGGCUUAUUAUCAAUGCCUUUCCUGUUGA